AUGUCGAACAUGCGGUUCAAGAACUCCCGCGAGUCCGUGCCGGGGAGCGUCGCCUCGGCGAGCCUCAACCUGGUGAGCCGUACCGCGUCGUGGAGGCCCGACACGAGGAACGGCUCCAUGGGCGACGCGACUCUCUCCUGCGGGGUGUGGAGGAGCAGGGACCGCUGCACGGAGAGCGUGAAGCAGCCCAUGCCGAUGAACGCGUACUGCGAGAUGCCGAGCUCGGCGACGGUGGUGGCGGCCCACGGUAGGACACCAUCGAACACGACGGCGUCAGUGGGGUGGCGGCGCAGGAGGUCGGCGAAGAGCGGCGCGAGGAGCUCGAUGGCGGCGGCGAACGGGCUCCGUGGGCGACGCGAGGAGCAGAGGAAGCUCCGGCGCACUCAAUGUGUUCGACGAAAUGAGAAGGCAAACCUGGUGGUUGUUUAG
rnacentral:rRNA from 1 species